rnacentral:rRNA from 1 species
GACAGAGGUGGCAAGCGUUGUUCGGAUUUAUUGGGUGUAAAGGGUAGGUAGGUGGUCAUGUAAGUCUGGUGUGAAAUCCCACGGCUCAACCGUGGAACUGCAUUAGAAACUGCAUGACUUGAGUACCGGAGAGGUAAGGGGAAUUCUCGGUGUAAGGGUGAAAUCUGUAGAUAUCGAGAGGAACACCAGUGGCGAAGGCGCCUUACUGGCCGGUAACUGACACUGAGCUACGAAAGCAAGGGGAGCAAACAGG